UUAAGGCAGUGACACAGAAAUGAGGGU
rnacentral:piRNA from 1 species